GACGUAGGGCGCGAGCGUUGUCCGGAUUUAUUGGGCGUAAAGGGCUCGUAGGCGGUUUGUCGCGUCGGAUGUGAAAACCCGGGGCUCAACCCCGGGCCUGCAUUCGAUACGGGCAGACUAGAGUUCGGUAGGGGAGUCUGGAAUUCCUGGUGUAGCGGUGAAAUGCGCAGAUAUCAGGAGGAACACCGGUGGCGAAGGCGGGACUCUGGGCCGAUACUGACGCUGAGGAGCGAAAGCGUGGGGAGCAAACAGG
rnacentral:rRNA from 1 species